rnacentral:rRNA from 1 species
AUUGAACGCUGGCGGCAGGCCUAACACAUGCAAGUCGCGCGGAGCGGCGGACGGGUGAGUAAUGCCUAGGAAUCUGACUGGUAGUGGGGGAUAACGUCCGGAAACGGGCGCUAAUACCGCAUACUAUCAGAUGAGCCUAGGUCGGAUUAGCUAGUUGGUGGGGUAAAGGCCUACCAAGGCGCCGAUCCGUAACUGGUCUGAGAGGAUGCCCAUUCACACUGGAACUGAGACACGGUCCAGAAUCCGACGGGAGGCAGCAGUGGGGAAUAUUGCACAAUGGGCGAGAGCCUGAUGCAGCCAUGCGGCGUGUGUGAAGAAGGUCUUCGGGUUGUAAAGCACUUUAAGCUGGGAGGCGUUACCAGCAGAAGAAGCACCGGCUAACUUCGUGCCAGCAGCCGCGGUAAUAC